ACAUACUUGAUGGUUUCUCUCUUUUCUCCCUUUUCUAGUUCUAGACUCAGCAAUGAAGGUCAUCAUGCAGACCAGCAUAUAUGCCACGAGUGCAUAAAUUAACAUCUUUGUAUUGCUGUCCAUAUACAAUGCAACAUUGAAAAAAAAAUACUAACUUGUAAGUAGAUAGAAAAGAUGGUGCCAUGUUUAACCUAAAAUAAUUCACACAGUAGCUAUUCAUAAACUGGACACU
rnacentral:lncRNA from 1 species